GCAGAUGUUUAAAAUGGUAUGUCAGUUGAAGAGAACGAUUGUAAUGACAGACAGACUGAAAGAACAAAUGGAAUCUAAUGGUAUUAACCUUAUAACUAUAGGUAGCCUAAUACAUUUUAUGUACACCAUGCUUCCAAAGUUCAAAUACACUUUGCAUUCAGUAGAAUAAAAAUUAUAAACAAUUUCCAGUGCGUAAUGCUAUAUUUUUCAAAAGUUAUAUAAUGCUAUAAUGGUUGCUAAACGCCAGGUUUUAGCCAGUUUAUAAUAGCAUAAACCUAUUCUGUGGUUUCCAUUAAGAUUUUCAUUGCCUUUUCUCAUUGGCAAAGCAAACGCUUUUGGCGUCUAAAUUGAAUAUUCAGUUCUAAUUGAGGGAUUAGGGAUACUUUUUUUUCACCCUAGUGCUACUCCUUCGGAAAAGUUUUCUGAUUCUGAAAAUAGGCACGAGGGCUAGUCUGGAAUUCUUGGAUUACAUCAUCCUUUAUGAUGUCAUCAUCAUUGGGUGACUUUGGCACGUUACCGAAUGGGUGAAGUCAGGCAGAAUUUCUGCUCUCGCUGCCCAGUGCAAAUCAUUUAAAACAAAGCCUCAGGGUCACUGUAUCCGUACGGAUAACUGUUAACCCCAUCCACUCUCCUUUCCUUUCAUUACUUGUCUUUUCAAGGGGACAGUCGAGAGAAGGUGACGUCUUCGUUAAAAAAAGGGAAUGGAAGCCUGUGUUUUUCUCUUGGGGGACAUCAUAAUGAUUUGAUUUACUGGCGGUCAUUUGAUCAACAGCGUACGCUCCACUCCCUAAACACACACUCCUCCUCGAGAAACUAUCAGCGGCAGACGCACGCAAGAAGGUGCAGGCUGCCGGACAUCUCGGGGCUGGAAUCACAUUCAUUCUCAUUAGACUGCGAUAGUGUCAGCUGGAGGCAGGGGAGGCACGAGCCAGGGUCAUAAAAACUACCUCACUACCUUUUCCCGCCAUUACCUCAUACAGAUCACAUCAUACCCAGUCAGCCAUUCUCCAGUCUACGCCGAAGCUGCACACUGGCGUAUGUUUUUAAUGUGCAUCGCUUUUCUGCCGGUCACUUUUACCAGCUUCUUGUCAAACUACCUUCGUAAACAGUGAAGGAAAUGGCCCGUCGUCAGCCUUCAAGCAUAAGCAGUUUUCAACAGGUUUUGAGGUUGGCGACAGUGGAGGUCAAUAGAGAUGGCUCCAUGAGAUGAACUGGCUCGCUCCCCAGAGACAUGCGUUCUCAGUGAGGCCCAGUGAUAGAUGAAGUGUGUGAGGGAUCGGUUCGGGCCCGUGUUCAAUCAAACUUCAUGGCUUACAUUACAGUGGAUGAUGCAUGGGCACUUCUUUGGACCUGUUUUAUGUUCUGUAGGCCCAGGAGCGUGGCAUUGUUUGCACUGUCCAAAACCUCCUGCUCCCCUGCUUGGCCCAAUCUGGAGAGAGUUAGUGCCAUCCCAAUGGACCAGGUCAAGCAUGCCUUUUGUGCUGAUCUAGGAUCAGCUGUGUUUAUUUGAAUCUUCACCUUAUACACUUGAAGAGGAGCCACAAGACUGAUCUCAAACCGAUUUCAGGCAAACCCUUCAAUCUCCGUCAUGGAUCAGCUGUUGUCCACAGUGUCUCAGUGUCACACUGAGGAGGACAAAAAAACUCUAGUUUUUAUUGCUUGAUACCCAGUGUACUGAUUUAUUUGGUGACUUAAGGGAAGUUAAAAAUGACAAUUCUGUUAUCAUUUACUCCUAUAGUUGACUGUUUUGCUUCCUUGGAACACACACACACACAAAACAAAAAACAUUAAGCAGAAUGUUGCACUACUCUUUCCUAUCACUGAAAAAAAUAUACUAGUAUUUUAAGGUAACUAGUUGCAAACAAUUUAUUUUAGCUACAUUAAAAAAAAAAAAAACAGGUUGAAAGUUAGUCAACUAAAUUUGUUUAUUUAAAUGUAGCUUAAAUAAAUUGAUUGCAACCACAUACCUUAAAAAAAUUAGUAAAUUCAGUGAAUAUUUUUUUGUUCAUUGUACAAUGAAAGUGAA
ensembl:lncRNA